rnacentral:rRNA from 1 species
GAUGAACGCUGGCGGCGUGCCUAAUACAUGCAAGUCGAGCGAACAGACGAGGAGCUUGCUCCUUUGACGUUAGCGGCGGACGGGUGAGUAACACGUAGGUAACCUACCUAUAAGACUGGGAUAACUUCGGGAAACCGGAGCUAAUACCGGAUAAUAUUUCGAACCGCAUGGUUCGAUAGUGAAAGAUGGCUUUGCUAUCACUUAUAGAUGGACCUGCGCCGUAUUAGCUAGUUGGUAAGGUAACGGCUUACCAAGGCAACGAUACGUAGCCGACCUGAGAGGGUGAUCGGCCACACUGGAACUGAGACACGGUCCAGACUCCUACGGGAGGCAGCAGUAGGGAAUCUUCCGCAAUGGGCGAAAGCCUGACGGAGCAACGCCGCGUGAGUGAUGAAGGUCUUCGGAUCGUAAAACUCUGUUAUUAGGGAAGAACAAACGUGUAAGUAACUGCGCACGUCUUGACGGUACCUAAUCAGAAAGCCACGGCUAACUACGU